UACGAAGGGGGCUAGCGUUGCUCGGAAUCACUGGGCGUAAAGCGCACGUAGGCGGAUGUUUAAGUCAGAGGUGAAAGCCUGGAGCUCAACUCCAGAACUGCCUUUGAUACUGGGCAUCUUGAGUCCGGAAGAGGUAAGUGGAACUGCGAGUGUAGAGGUGAAAUUCGUAGAUAUUCGCAAGAACACCAGUGGCGAAGGCGGCUUACUGGUCCGGUACUGACGCUGAGGUGCGGAAAGCGUGGGGAGCAAACAGGG
rnacentral:rRNA from 1 species